AAAUAAUAAAAUAAUUUUUUUAAAACUAUUUUGAUCCAAAUGUAAGUGCAAUGGAGUCUUUCCAAAUGUAUGUGAAAAUGAAUAAUGCAAGAUUUUCUAUUGGAUAUAUAUUUAAUUUAUAUAUAUCCUUAAUGAUAUUAUUUUUCCACUUGAAUGGCUAUAUUUGCAUAUUUAAUUAACGACACUUCAAGAAAUAUUGUUCAAAUGUAUAUAAAAAUGUAUACAAAGAAAGCCAAAGGUACAAAGAAGCCACUGAAGUAUAAUUAAAAGUAUAAUUAAGCCCUUGAAAAAAGUUUGUGUUAAAUUAAACUUUCAAAAUUUUUAAAUCAAACAUUUAGACCCAAAGUUAACAGAGAUUAUGUUCUGUUAACCUCAACUGUAUAGACCCACCAAUUCCACUCCAUAAAACAAAGUUUUGUUUUUGCAUUUCAUCAAACAACUUGUGCUCAAACUCAAUCCCAUCACACAAGCAAUCACAUUUAACUCGGCAAUAGCUUUUAUAUAUAUAUAUAGACCAUCCUAUUCUAACGUCCACUUGCACCUCUGGGCUUUGAGAUCAUGUUUUGAUCUCAAAUAAUAUAAUGGAGAAGAGAAAAAUUCAUUUCUACAUGAUCAUAGCAUAUAGUGAAGGAGUAAUUCAGACAUAUGCAUGGGAAAAAAAAUGUUUAAUGCAACAUUUGAGAAGUCAAAAAUGUGGAUAGCAUUUAAGUAGACCCCAAGUUACAGUUUAGAUCAAAAUCUUACAUGCAGCUAUGGAUCUUCCUUGCCAAUUUAUCUCAUCACAUAAAUGCAGUAAAAGAAGGAAUAAAAAAAAAUUAUCAAAGGUACCUACAUAUCCAAUACACACACUUAUCACAAUUAAAAUUUACCUGUAACAAUCUGUGUAUAUGUUUCAGUUGCAUUCUUUCUAUUUACAUCAAUGAAUUAUCAUAAUUUCUUUCACUAGCCAUAUAAGAGGUCCAACUAGACAAUCAGCAAGACCUCUAAUGACUUCAAUUUUUUUUUUUUUUUUACUCAGAUUUAGGUCCUUCAAGUGACAAAUCAAAAGAAUGAUAAUUGGAUACAUCAAAUCGAUCAUAUAUGAGUAAAAUUCUGAUCAGAACCUCUAUGCUAGUAACUCUUGCACCAGCCACCAGGAGAUGCUUGCCAAAAUCUUUUAUGCAUCGAAGUAAUCAUCAGGGACAAAGAACUUCAAUCCAAUGGCGUGAGCAAAUUUUAUGUCAGCGUCACUAUUAUCAUCAAUUCUCCCAAUUGCAUCCUCAAUAUAGAAGGAUUUCUCAUUCAUAUCUAUUGAAAUGCCAAUUAAAAUGUUUCUCCAUUGUCCACCACUUCCAGGUUUAGGCUUGCCAAAUGGAUCUUCCAUGUUACCAUGAGAACGCUUCUUCCACCAUGGAACACAUGCAACUCAGCACAAAUAAUUUCAUUAUUUAAUAUUUUAUAAAUAAAAUCUGUUAAUUUUAAUUUUUAUUUAAUUUUAACUUUUUAAUUAAUAUAUUUAAAUAAAAAAUGAUAUAUGUAAAAUAAACAUAUUUUUAUACUCAAUUUAGUUCAAAAAUAAAGAAAAUUAAGAAAUUAAACUUCUUAAUUUUUGAGUUUAAAUUAAGAAAUCAAGAAAUUUAAUCUCAAAAUUA
rnacentral:misc_RNA from 1 species